rnacentral:rRNA from 1 species
GAUGAACGCUGGCGGCGUGCCUAAUACAUGCAAGUCGAGCGAACAGACGAGGAGCUUGCUCCUCUGACGUUAGCGGCGGACGGGUGAGUAACACGUGGAUAACCUACCUAUAAGACUGGGAUAACUUCGAGAAACCGGAGCUAAUACCGGAUAAUAUAUUGAACCGCAUGGUUCAAUAGUGAAAGACGGUUUUGCUGUCACUUAUAGAUGGAUCCGCGCCGCAUUAGCUAGUUGGUAAGGUAACGGCUUACCAAGGCAACGAUGCGUAGCCGACCUGAGAGGGUGAUCGGCCACACUGGAACUGAGACACGGUCCAGACUCCUACGGGAGGCAGCAGUAGGGAAUCUUCCGCAAUGGGCGAAAGCCUGACGGAGCAACGCCGCGUGAGUGAUGAAGGUCUUCGGAUCGUAAAACUCUGUUACUAGGGAAGAACAAAUGUGUAAGUAACUAUGCACGUCUUGACGGUACCUAAUCAGAAAGCCACGGCUAACUACGUG